GGAGGGUGCAAGCGUUGUUCGGAAUUACUGGGCGUAAAGAGCGUGUAGGCGGUUUGGCAAGUCAGAUGUGAAAGCCCUGGGGCUCAACCCAGGAAGUGCAUUUGAAACUGCCAUUCUAGAGUAUGGGAGAGGAGAGUGGAAUUCCCGGUGUAGAGGUGAAAUUCGUAGAUAUUGGGAGGAACACCCGUGGCGAAGGCGACUCUCUGGACCAAUGCUGACGCUGAGACGCGAAAGCGUGGGGAGCAAACAGGAUUAGAUACCCUGGUAGUCCACGCCGUAAACGAUGAGAACUAGGUGUAGCGGGUAUUGACCCCUGCUGUGCCGUAGCUAACGCAUUAAGUUCUCCGCCUGGGGAGUACGGUCGCAAGGCUA
rnacentral:rRNA from 1 species